rnacentral:rRNA from 1 species
GGUCCAAGCUUAAUUAUUUUACCCAAUAAAUCCCUAAAACAAAUUAAAACCCUGCCUCAAUACUGAGUAAUUCCAUAUACAUAUGGAAAAUAUUAUGUUAAAACUAGUAACAUGAAGUUGAACCCUUCUCUCAAAUGUAAGUGUAAGUCAGAAUGGAACGCACACUGACAAUUAACAGCUUAAACUAAAGUAGAAAAAUACCCAAGAAAACCCUACCAAUUCAUCUGUUAAUCUAACACAAGAACAUUUUAAGAAAGACUCAAAAAGAAAGAAGGAACUCGGCAAAACUGAUUCCGCCUGUUUACCAAAAACAUCGCCUCCUGAAUUUUAACUAUGGGAGGUCCAGCCUGCCCAGUGACUCUGUUUAACGGCCGCGGUAACCUAACCGUGCGAAGGUAGCGUAAUCACCUGUUUUUUAAUUAAAGACCUGUAUGAAAGGCAUCACGAGAAUCAUACUGUCUCCUUUCUCAAGUCAGUGAAACUAAUCCCCUCGUGAAAAAGCGAGGAUAAAAUUACAAGACGAGAAGACCCUUUGGAGCUUAAGACAAAAUAAAUACUUGCCCCAUUACACCCCUGUACCACACAGCAUGUUAUUUAUAAGUCUUAGGUUGGGGCAACCACGGAGUAAAAAUAAACCUCCGAGCUGAACGGAAAUUUCCUAAACAAAAAGCAACAGCUUUAUGUAUCAAUAAACUGACACAAUUUGACCCAAUAUAUUUGAUUAACGAACCAAGUUACCCUAGGGAUAACAGCGCAAUCCACUUAAAGAGUUCAUAUCGAAAAGUGGGCUUCCGACCUCG